rnacentral:rRNA from 1 species
GACAGAGGGUGCAAACGUUGUUCGGAAUUACUGGGCGUAAAGCGAGUGUAGGCGGUCUGAAAAGUCGGAUGUGAAAGCCCCGGGCUCAACCCGGGAAGUGCAUUCGAAACUGCCAGGCUAGAGUGUCGGAGAGGUUGGUGGAAUUCUCGGUGUAGAGGUGAAAUUCGUAGAUAUCGAGAGGAACACCGGUGGCGAAGGCGGCCAACUGGACGAACACUGACUCUGAGACUCGAAAGCGUGGGGAGCAAACAGG